rnacentral:lncRNA from 1 species
GCAUUCCUAUUGGAUACCCGCCUUGCAAGACGCAGCGCGAAGGCUCUCUCUCUCUCCCCCCCACUCUUCCCGCCCGCUUCCCCCUCCGCCGCCGUCGCUCUCGGGGAAAAUGGCUGAAAGGGGAAGCGGUGGCGCGGGGUGGGGAGCGGGAGUCCGCGACGGCCAAGGCGCAGGCGCGCACAAGGGCGGCGGAGGGGCGAGUGGGGGGGAAACCACCCGGUCCCAGAGCAGCGGCUGCCCCGUCAUUGUCCGGGCUCCCUGAGGGUGGGGAAGGGGCGCCCUGGGCUCAGGGGCCACCGCGGAACAACCGAGCGGACUGGGGAGGAAAGGGGCCUCCGAAGGCGGCUUUCCCUAGGAAGAACCCUGCCCAAGCACUUGGGUUGCAACCCGAAUCACCCGGCUUCACAAACAACUAGAUGGAUACAUGGGAAGAAAUUUUUAGGAAAGAGGACUAAACAAAACCUCAAAGGUCUUCCUUUCAAUAUCAAGGCAUGUGAACUAAAAGGGAAAAUUCAACUUCGUUUCUUUAUUUGAGCAUUCAGAGGCAUCUGACAACUGGACAUGGUUAGCUUGUUAUAUUUUGAUGAAACAGAGUUGCAGAGGUGUAGGUCAUUCCUAUGAAAGAAGGUGGAGAACAAUGCCCCUCUCUAUGUGUUGGACUACAACUUUCAUCAUCGAACAUUCAUCAGGCUGACUGUGUUUGCCAGGAGUUAAGAGUCCUUUAAGAUCUGGAGGACAACAAGUGUUGAAAUAAUUAGGUGAUUCCUUUUUGGUGCAGAGUAAAGCAUGGAGAGAUCUCCAUAAUCUCAUCACUUAUGUUGGAAAAGGAAAAACAAUAUGUCUGGAUGCCUUUUGGUUAAAGGGGAAAAAUUCUUAUUUAUAAUAUAUCUUUCUGUUCUUUCCUUUUGUAUUAUGUUAAGCUACAUCUCUACAUGUCUGUCUUCUGAGAGCAGAAAUCAGAGGGGGAAAGAAAGGCAGCUAACAAAGGAACAAUAGGAAGGAAGGGGUGAUCUCAAGGACUGUGAAAUGUCUGUAGUUAAAUUUGUGGCAGGUACAAUAUGUAGGCAAUGUUGUAUAUAGAUGUCAGAGGGUGUCAUAAUCUGUUUGCCCCUCGUAAUGCAUAUGACUCUAAACACAGGAUGGUGCUAUUUUAUUUUCUUAGCAAUGACUAUAUCCUAGAAAUAUGAGAUCUUCCAAUCUUAGUUAUAUUUAGAGGAGGGGAAAAAGCAAACAGAAACUUAAAAAGAAACAAAUUUAUUAGUGCAUCAGAUGAGCAUCAGCUCUUGUAUGCUAAAUAAUUCUCUUUAAUUGACACAGAUUUUCUGUCCCUGCGUGAGCUUUCUACUUAAGGGGAAACGCAGAAGGAAGGCUAGAUAAUUAGAUAAUUUGUUCUGGCCUUAAAAUCUUUUAAGAUUCAGUGGACAUUUAAAAUUGUGGAUGAGGCAUUUGCCCACUAUGUCUUAUUCCCAUUUGCAAAACUGUAUUUGUGGCUUGAAUGUGCAACUCUGGCUUGUUAAAUUGGCUUAAAUAGAAAAUGUAGAGAGUCGUUUUUCCCCACCUCAUUAGCAAUUUUAAAUAAUUAAGUACCUGCACAUAUGUGGGGAAGAUUAUUUCAUUCUUUGUUCAUAAUUCAUUUGCUGCCUCACACAUUUUUUUUUUACUGUUAGCUACAUCUCUUUGAAUCAAGAAAGGAAUAAAGUGGGAAAAUGCAAUCCCA